rnacentral:pre_miRNA from 1 species
AGCCUUCUGUAUCCGUGCUGAGAUUUCGUCAUACACCAAGGGCUGAUGAGACUCCCAAGAUAAGUGAAGUG